rnacentral:rRNA from 1 species
UACGUAGGGUGCGAGCGUUGUCCGGAAUUAUUGGGCGUAAAGAGCUCGUAGGCGGUUUGUCACGUCUGCUGUGAAAUCCCGAGGCUCAACCUCGGGCCUGCAGUGGGUACGGGCAGACUGGAGUGCGGUAGGGGAGAAUGGAAUUCCUGGUGUAGCGGUGGAAUGCGCAGAUAUCAGGAGGAACACCAGUGGCGAAGGCGCCACUCUGGGCCGUAACUGACGCUGAGGAGCGAAAGCGUGGGUAGCAAACAGG